rnacentral:precursor_RNA from 15 species
CGAACCAUGAAGAUAAACGAUGCCGGCGGCAGCUCAGCGUGUGUCGUACUGAUAGUGUUAUCACUAGCUAUCAUAAGACACACGCGGCUAUCGCCGGUCUCUCCUAUCCUUUUGAUUUUAUU